CACGUAGGGGGCAAGCGUUGUCCGGAUUUAUUGGGCGUAAAGAGCUCGUAGGCGGUUCGGUAAGUCGGGUGUGAAACCUCCAGGCUCAACCUGGAGACGCCACCUGAUACUGCUGUGACUCGAGUCCGGUAGGGGAGCGUGGAAUUCCUGGUGUAGCGGUGAAAUGCGCAGAUAUCAGGAGGAACACCAGCGGCGAAGGCGGCGCUCUGGGCUGGAACUGACGCUGAGGAGCGAAAGCGUGGGGAGCGAACAGG
rnacentral:rRNA from 1 species